rnacentral:rRNA from 1 species
GAUGAACGCUAGCGACAGGCUUAACACAUGCAAGUCGAGGGGCAGCAUAGAAGUAGCAAUACUUUGGUGGCGACCGGCGCACGGGUGAGUAACGCGUAUGCAACCUACCUAUCAGAGGGGAAUAACCCGGCGAAAGUCGGACUAAUACCGCAUAAAACAGGGGCACCGCAUGGUGAUAUUUGUUAAAGAAAUUCGCUGAUAGAUGGGCAUGCGUUCCAUUAGGUAGUUGGUGAGGUAACGGCUAACCAAGCCGACGAUGGAUAGGGGAACUGAGAGAUUGGUCCCCCACACUGGUACUGAGACACGGACCAGACUCCUACGGGAGGCAGCAGUGAGGAAUAUUGGUCAAUGGGCGGGAGCCUGAACCAGCCAAGUCGCGUGAAGGAAGAAGGAUCUAUGGUUCGUAAACUUCUUUUGCAGGGGAAUAAAGUGCAGGACGUGUCCUGUUUUGUAUGUACCCUGGGAAUAAGGAUCGGCUAACUACGUGCCAGCCGCCGCAGUAAGAC